AUUAUGGCCUACCUGAAUUAAUAUAGAGCAAGGUUAUUUUCAACUACAGCAGUUUAGCUCGUUACAGCACUGGUGCAUCAAACCCUGUCAUUCACCGAGCACCCUGUAGAACGCCAUGUCGCUGCCAGCGGAUUUCCAAGCCUUGCACCCUGAAUGUCAAGCCUUCGUGCGAGACCGAAUAAACACGCAAAUGAGGGGAGAUGAUGAUUGGAAUGUCACCAGAAAAGCAAAAUCAGAAGCGACUGCCAAGGCGGCAAAAGAGGCCGCUUACGACUUCAAAGGGACUAGGGGAGAGAUAACUAUUCCGUCACCGCACGUGAAAGAGGGCCUUAGAGCGUGGGUUUACACCCCGGCUAAUGGCCCCAAGAACCCUCCAAUCGUGGUGUACUUCCAUGGCGGAGGCUGGGUCCUCUGCAGCCUGGAGGAUGUGGAUACUUUUGUGAAGAUGCUGACUGACACCGCCAACUGCAUCGUAGUGAGCGUGGAUUAUCGUCUGGCACCAGAACACAAAUUUCCUGCCGCCAUUGACGACUGUGAGACUGCCGCCAAAUGGGUUCUGGGGAACAAGGAAUUUGUGGGUGGCAGCACGCUCAGCAAGGUUGGUGUCGUUGGUGAAAGUGCAGGAGGACAUCUGUCGGCCUGUGUGUCACAUGAUGUCCCAGGACUAGCGUUUCAGGUGCUCAUCUAUCCGGUGACGGAUAUGCGGAUUGACACCCGGGAGUCGUACAAACGCUAUGCGGAGGGCUACGUUCUUACCACCGAGGCUAUGUACUGGUUUGUAAAUCACUUCCUCCACAACGAGGCUGAGAGGUCGGAUCCACGUGCCUCUCCAAUUCUACGGACAAAGUUUGACCACCUUCCACCAGCCUUGUACGUCGCCGCCACCCAUGAUGUCCUGUUUGACGAAGGGAUGGGUAUAUUAUUUUUUAUUAUUCAUGCAAAUAUGCCAAAAAACUGAGAGAAGCUGGAGUAACAAUUGAAACCCUUAUGUUAGAGGGAAUCACUCACUGUACGGUUUAUUUUCCUAAUUAUUUCAAAGAGACGAAUGCCAAGAUAUGCGGGAAGGUUGCAGAGUUCGUGAAAAAACAUUCUGAAUAAACGCUCCUGGCAUCAACGUU
rnacentral:misc_RNA from 1 species